UUUCCGUAGGUGAACCUGCGGAAGGAUCAUUAUCGAGUUUCCAAUGGGCUAUCGCUGGCGCUCACCCGAAAGUGCAUGCACUCCUGAUCGACCCCACACCUGUCCACCUAAUCUCGGUAUGAGAUCCCGCAGCGUGCCCUCUUUUGGUUGUUCGUGAUGGGUCUCACUGUCUGCGACAAUCACACUAUCCAUAACGUAUCGCAUUGUUUAUUUUUUCGUUCAGCCAAUAUAUACAACUUUCAGCAACGGAUCUCUUGGCUCUC
rnacentral:misc_RNA from 1 species